AUGGCAUCAACCGACAACCUGCGUAAGGUCAAGAUGCCCACGGUCAACGUGUUCGAGCCCUCUGAAGCAGAGAUCUUGCACACCCAGAAGGCCACGCUCGUGUGCCUGGCCACCGGCUUCUACCCCGACCACGUGGAGCUGAGCUGGUGGGUGAACGAGAAGGAGGUCACCAGCGGGGUCAGCACGGACCCCCAGCCCUACCAGCAAGACUCCAGCUACUCUCUGAGCAGCCGGCUCAGGGUCUCUGCCAGCUUCUGGCACAACCCGCACCGCCAGUUCCGCUGCCAGGCCCACUUCCAUGGCCUCGGGAAGGAGGAUAAAUGGGACGAAAAAGACGGACCCAAACCUGUCUCCCAGAUCAUCAGCGCCCAGGUCUCAGGCCGAGCAGGCUGUGGCCUCAACUCAGCAUCCUACCAGCAGGGGCUCCAGUCUGCCACCCUCCUCUACGAGAUCCUGCUGGGGAAGGCCACCCUGUACGCCGUGCUGGUCAGCGUCCUGGUGCUGAUGACCAUGGUCAAGAGAAAGGAUUCCUGACCCCCGUCCCAGUGCGGCAUCCUGAGUGGUUCUCCAGCCUCACCCUGCUUCUCCUGAAUGCGCCCUCAGCCUGCCCCCUUGGGGAGUCCUGUCAUCUCGGGGCUCCCUACACGGGCAUCUGUCCUGCCUCUGCCCUUCUGCAGACCGAGCUCUUCAGCCCUGAAUCUGAAAUAGACGAAGCCAA